AACGAACGCUGGCGGCAUGCCUAACACAUGCAAGUCUAACGAGACCUUCGGGUCUAGUGGCGCACGGGUGCGUAACGCGUGGGAACCUGCCCUUAGGUUCGGAAUAACUCCCCGAAAGGGGUGCUAAUACCGGAUAAUGUCUUCGGACCAAAGAUUUAUCGCCUUUGGAUGGGGCCGCGUUGGAUUAGCUAGUUGGUAGGGUAAAAGCCUACCAAGGCGACGAUCCAUAGCUGGUCUGAGAGGAUGAUCAGCCACACUGGGACUGAGACACGGCCCAGACUCCUACGGGAGGCAGCAGUGGGGAAUAUAGAACAAUGGGCGAAAGCCUGAUCCAGCAAUGCCGCGUGAGUGAAGAAGGCCUUAGGGUUGUAAAGCUCUUUUACCCGGGAUGAUAAUGACAGUACCGGGAGAAUAAGCUCCGGCUAAAUCCGUG
rnacentral:rRNA from 1 species